rnacentral:lncRNA from 1 species
CUACUAUAACCCACCAGCAGGUAAGCCAACCCGUAACCCGGAACAACAAGUAAUGGGUCUGAGGGUAGAAAUUAAACAGGAGUAGGCAAAUAACAAUAUAAACAGGCGGAAGCAAACCAAAAACAUAUAUACAAAUAGAGAUCCCUCCCAGAACCUGGAAGUCACUAGUACAGAGCUACUACAAAAUGAGUACAAGUCCUAAAACCGGACAACAGAGACUGGACUGUCUCGAAAGGAAAAAGACAAGUCUAUAUAUACAGAUGGAGACUGAAAUAGUACAAAACGCCGUGUGCUCACCCCCGUCUCCGGAUAAGUCUACUCCAGGCUAGAUCAACGCUGGCUACUAGUGCUCGGACCUGCAUCACAAAAUAGAUGCAGAGCGUAGCAUGAGUACCAAAACAACAGGUACCCAGUAGGCAUCAUCGGCCGACUGAGCAAGAUAAGCAAAAGUAAACUGAAAUGCAAAUAAAGGGUCACAUCAAGNN